rnacentral:lncRNA from 1 species
AGGAGAGCUUCAGUGUUUGCCAAGAGCACCAGCAGAAACAACAUUCUGCUUAGGUCUGUCAUAGACAAAAACUCUGACUAGAAAUGUGAAAUCAUUUGUAUAGAAUGCUUACGGUUAAAAGAAUACUCUUGAAACAGUACUUUUCAUACGUAUAUGGCUUUGUAUGCUUACAUAUUUAAAAGUAAACUGUGCUUUCCAUUUGGUGAUUUUAGUCAAUCCAGCACUGUGUGAUUUUGUAGUAAUUGUACUCAAGCCAAAUGAAUCAAAGAGAAAUACUUAAUGCCGAUCCCAUCCAGCUGCACUGAGAAGGAUAGGAAAACGAAUCAUAGAGCCCGAUUUGUCCUUGUCAGAAGCUCAACAAUGCUUAGGACUAAAACCUAAAGUUAUACAUGACUCUAAAAAGAGCAAUUUGUCAAGCGUUUCAUUGGCACAAAUUGAAAUGAAAUGAGGUCCUGGGCUCUUGAGGUCACUUUGCAACAGGAAGAAUUCAUUAUCUAACUAUACACAGAGGAAAAUGCCUCACAAUUGUAUUUGCUUGUAAAGGAUGAGUGCCCACACAUAAAGCCAAAAUGGCAGAGGUCGCUUAUGAGAAAUAAACUACAUAAAAGCAAAGACUCAAGUGUCCCUUGGCUGAUAGCCUCUUGUUUCUUCCUCCUAGUCAGGGCUGCUUUAGGGACAUAUUGCUCAGUGUACCAAAGAAAAUACUUGGGGAGGUCUUUGUUGUUUAUGCAAAGAUCGCUUGCACUGUUCCUGCUAAUUUAUCUGCUGGAAGCAUGAGGUAGUCUUACAUGUCCUUUCUCCUCAGGGUGGGGGGAUUUUAUUCUCCAUCCUUCUCCAGAUUCCACAUUAUUCUGAAUACAUUUCCUCUUAAGGCAUUUCUUGGCAUUCUCUCCACAAUGUGGUGAAGGUGCAGCCUUGAAUAUUUUACAGCUCAUUGGGUGGUUACUGAUGGGGUAUUUGUUUCAGUUGAAAAAGUGGAAAGUAAGUGCACAUUGAACCCAUCAAAUGUGAGGAUCACAUUUUUCAACAUAUUUAUAAAUAAUUUGGAACAGAGAAUGGAUUACUAUAUUACUCUUGGGCAGGGCGGGGAAGAUAACAACAACAAUCAAAGACAUUUUAAAUGAAGAAGAAAAAUAGCAUGGCUAAAGAGGAUGGAUUUAAAUAAGGAUAAGGCAAAGAAGUGGAUGUAGACAUCAAUUCUCUUAAUCUCUUCUGGAAUCUCAACACCCCCCAAACUCAGACAUCAGGAGGGAGGGACUGGGGAAGCUCACACAUCAAGUACAGUGGCCAUUUUCACUCCUGCCCAUUUCCUUCCAUCCAAUCAAGUCUCCUAGUCUUUCAAGUUUUUGAAAAGUUAUUUCCUAAUAAUGUGGCCUGUCAUUCAUUCUCCUCACUUUUUUAUGGCUCCCACCAUUGGUAAGGAUUGCUUUGGGUCCUUAGACCACCUUGGGUAGAAUGGACUUCUUAAUUAUAUUAUGUCUUCCAAUCCAUGAAGAUGGAUGUUCUUCCAUUUGUUUGUAUGUGGGGUUUUUUUGUUUGUUUGUUUGUUUUUUGGUUUUUUUUUUUUUGGUUUUUAUGGCUGUACCCAUGGCAUAUGGAAGUUCCCAGGCUAGGAGUCAAAUCAGAGCUGCACCUGCUGACCUACACCACAGCAAUAGCUGUGACCUAUACUACAGCUCAUGGUGAUGCCAGAUCCUUAACCCACUGAGUAAGGCCAGGGAUUGAACCCAUGUCUUCAUGGAUACUAUUAAGAUUCAUUUCUGCUGCACCACAACAAGAAUUCCUAUGUGUGUUUUUUUAAAAAAUUCUUUCAACCAUGUUUUUUAUGGUUCUUAAGUGUUGUUAGAGGUGACUGCUGCAUGGUUGUAUCAUAAUUUUCCUUGAGUGGUGGGAGACUUUGGCCAUGGUGGUGCCUGUCAUUAAGCUGCAGGAUGCAUAAAGAGAAGCAGUAUGUGGGACAUGGGAAAACCCCAGAUCCCAGUGCUAGCCCUGUUGUGUUUUAAAAGUGUGGCAUCUACAGAAUGUACUUAGAUACAGAGAUUUGCAGCUAGUCACUGAUGAUGAUUAACGAAAAGAAUGGGUGAAGAUACUUAGGGAAUGUAUACAUAGAGAGAGGAAAAACAAAUAAGUUCUUUCAUCCCCAUUUUCUUAAGUAUAAAACCAUCUAAGUGAGACAGUAUCCCAACCUGCUAACCCUCCUUUGACUUUAAGUGCAUGCUUCAGCAGCCAACAGGAAAGGGGGAAACGUUAAAGGAAUUCAGACAAAUAUUACUAAGUGUCAAGGGAGGAAAAGCAUGGAUUCUUGCUCACUUCUUUUCAGCUAAAGACUGUAUUUAACAAUGAUGUUUUAUCCAGGGCUCGAAAGUCAUGUGAUUCUUUUCUCAUUUCCCCUGACAGAAAUAACUUUGGUCUUGAAAGCUUGGGGAGGAAGAGACUUAGCUCCAUUUCUCCUUGUUGUAUCAUUUUCUCAUUAUUCUCUUUGGUUUUCAGUUCAAUUGAUAAACCCAAAUGAUUUCAUUAAGGCCUUUUUUUUUUUCCUUGUCCAAAAGAACCCAAUCUCCUUAAAAUGCCACAUAAGACAUGUUUUUAUUUUUAUUUUUAUUAUUAUUUUUUCUUUUUAGGGCCUUACCCAUGGCAUGUGGAAGUUCCCAGGCUAGGGGUAAAAUCAGAAACUGUAGCUGCCAGCCUACACCACAGCCACAGCAACAUGGGAUCUGAGCCUCUGCGUCUGCGACCUAUACCACAGCUUAUGGCAAUGCCGGAUCCCCCAUCCGCUGAGCAAGGCCAGGGUUUGAACCUGCAUCUGCAUGGAUCCUAGUCAGAUUCAUUUCUGCUGGGCCACAGCAGGAACUCCCCAGUCUAGAAUGAUUUCAAUGUGCUUUGGCAUUGAAGGGGACUGGAGUGGGUGGACAAACACUUUUGUCAUUCAAUCAGUGAGGUGAGAUGACUGCAAAGAAUGAGCCCCUUCAGCUUCCCCCAGCCCUUCCUCCCACGGGAAUGGUGGACUUCCUUAAUUCUUAAGUAUUUCUCGGUCCAAUUUGCAAGGCUUUUUCAUUAUUUUCUUAUGAUCUAGAUGUUAUUGAGAUGUGAAGGGGCUGGAAGAGAUGUAAUAACAUUUAUAAUUAUCAAAUAAUACAUUUUAUAUCUAAUUGUUAUUAGAAUGUAAUUUCCUCAAGGGCAGGGACCAUUCAUGUUUUGUUCACAACUUCAUCUGCAAUGCUGAGAACCAUGCCUAGCACGCAGUGGGCACUCACUAGGGAGUUAUUGAAAUCAUUUUUUCAGUCAGAACAUGUAUUGGAUAUGUGUUCAUUUUUGGUUUGGAAAAUGUGGUAACAGUGACUUUGUGUCCUUGCAUUAAACACAGUUACAUUUUUACGGAGUUAUUUGAUGGUUGCUUUGAUGACUUUUCUAAUACCUUAGUUUACCAUUCGAUCUUGGGUUUGCCAUUGGAUACUGCUAUCAGAUGUGAAAAGGUAGCGUUGUCUUUUGGGCAAGUUUGAUUUAGACCUUGCACUCAUGGUUACUUGUCUGGUCUACAAAGAGACCUUGACAACUGACGAUUGUAUUCAAGUCCUAAAAGAACUCACAGAGCUGGUGACUAGGGGUGCCUUCUAGCUUGUCACUUUGAUUUCGUUGGGAUUGUACUUCAAUACUUUGCCUAGGAGCACUGGGAGAAAGAGAGUUUUCCUUUACAGGCUCCCUG